CCAAAGGCAGUGACGAGGAAGAGUAUCCGCAUAGGGAGCAAAGAGAGAAGGCGGCCGGUGCAAGCCUUUAUCCGUAUGCGGAGAAUGUCGCCUCCGAGCCGCAGAUUGAACGGCGUAUGCUCAGUAGGUUCUGCCGGGUCCUCCCGUUACAGAGGCAGAGUGUCCGCAGCAGUGGAAAUUCAGGUGGUACCGCGGUUUAGAAUCGCCCUGAGC
rnacentral:ncRNA from 1 species